rnacentral:rRNA from 1 species
CUACGGGGGGCUGCAGUGAGGAAUUUUGCGCAAUGGGGGCAACCCUGACGCAGCAACGCCGCGUGAGUGAAGAAGGCCUUUGGGUCGUAAAGCUCUGUCGACAGGGAAGAAGUUACGUAAGGUAAAUAGUCUUACGUAUUGACGGUACCUGUGGAGGAAGCAUCGGCUAACUCCGUGCCAGCAGCCGCGGUAAUACGGGGGAUGCAAGCGUUAUUCGGAAUCAUUGGGCGUAAAGGGCACGCAGGCGGCCUUGCCAGUCAGAUGUGAAAGCCCGGGGCUCAACCGCGGACGUGCAUUUGAAAGAGCAGGGGUUGAGUACGGUAGAGGAAAGCGGAAUUCCUGGUGUAGAGGUGAAAUUCGUAGAUAUCAGGAGGAACACCGGUGGCGAAGGCGGCUUUCUGGACCGAAACUGACGCUGAGGUGCGAAGGCGUGGGUAGCGAACAGGAUUAGAUACCCCCGUAGUC